CCUUAUAACUCUUCACUACUUCCUGUUGUAUGUGUUGUUCUCCUUGGGGGUGGAAGAUUUAAUUGCUAAUCGCCCACUUUUUCCUCCCCACUUUUUCUGAGGACCUCUCCUCUCCUCUCUCCGGAACCGGCUAAAAUGUAGCCGUUCGGAUACCGCCUCUCCGCUUCGCCCAAAAUUAACCAGAGACCCCGAAGUUUUAAGAGUGGAGCUCCUUGAAGUCCAAAUAUGGGUAUUGGAGGGGUGGAUCGAGCUGCUUUGUCAUGGAUUCCACUGCCCUAUUCCUAUAUGUUAUUUUCAUCUUGAGAGAAAAAAAAAGGAGGGGGGGAGAAAGAAAAAGAUCAUGUUCAUGGGAUAGGUUUGUGGCUUGCAUGACUCAGGAGCUUCAUUAACCUCUUCUUACCCUUCUUUGGAUUGAAGGGAGCUCUACACGUUAAUCUUUCUAAUUUUUUCUUUAAUUUUUUUUUACAGUUGUCAUUUCUUAAAUUUUAAGAUGAGGUAGUAGCUAGUGGUUGUGCUGUUGCUUUCAUUGUUGUUAUUACUUGCUACUGCUGGCAAUGGUAUUGCUUUAUUCCAGUCUGCUCACACCUCUGCGGUCUAUAUCUGGCCAACUACUUUAUUUCUGUGGUGUUUUGUUAGAUCUGCUAUAGAUCUUGAAAUCUUGUGAUGUAAUGAUGCACUUUCUAUUUUUAUUUUUUAAGAGUGACGUUAUUAUCUUUUUA